GACGAACGCUGGCGGCGUGCCUAAUACAUGCAAGUCGAGCGGAAGUUGGAGAGCUUGCUCUUCAACUUUAGCGGCGGACGGGUGAGUAACACGUGGGCAACCUGCCCUGCAGAUCGGGAUAACUCCGGGAAACCGGUGCUAAUACCGAAUAGUUUUCGCCACCUCCUGGUGGCGUACGGAAAGACGGUUUCGGCUGUCACUGCAGGAUGGGCCCGCGGGGCAUUAGCUAGUUGGUGGGGUAAGGGCCCACCAAGGCGACGAUGCGUAGCCGACCUGCGAGGGUGAUCGGCCACACUGGGACUGAGACACGGCCCAGACGCCUACGGGAGGCAUCAGUAGGGAAGCUUCCGCAAUGGACGGAAGUCUGACGGAGCAACGCCGCGUGAGUGACGAAGGUUUUCGGAUCGUAAAACUCUGUUGUGAGGGAAGAACAAGUACCAACUAACUACUGGUACCUUGACGGUACCUCACCAGAAAGCCACGGCUAACUACGUGCCAGCCGCCGCCGUAACAC
rnacentral:rRNA from 1 species